rnacentral:rRNA from 1 species
GGGUCCGCGUUCCAUUAGCUAGUUGGUGGGGUAAAGGCCUACCAAGGCAACGAUGGGUAGCUGGUCUGAGAGGAUGAUCAGCCCACUGGAACUGGAACACGGUCCACACUCCUACGGGAGGCAGCAGUGGGGAAUUUUGGGCAAUGGGGGCAACCCUGACCCAGCAACGCCGUGUGAGGGAAGAAGGUUUUCGGAUCGUAAACCUCUGUCAUGAGGGAAGAUGUGCAUGCCAAGUAAUAUGUGGUAUGUUUGACGGUACCUCCAAAGGAAGCACCGGCUAACUCCGUGCCAGCAGCCGCGGUAAUACGGAGGGUGCGAGCGUUAUUCGGAAUUACUGGGCGUAAAGCGCGCGUAGGCGGCGCGGCAAGUCAGAUGUGAAAGCCCCGGGCUCAACCUGGGAAUUGCAUUUGAAACUGCCGUGCUUGAGUAAGGUAGAGGGUGGCGGAAUUCCCGGUGUAGGAGUGAAAUCCGUAGAUAUCGGGAGGAACACCAAUGGCGAAGGCGGGCACCUGGGCCUUUACUGACGCUGAGGUGCGAAAGCGUGGGUAGCAAACAGGAUUAGAUACCCUGGUAGUCCACGCUGUAAACGAUGAACGCUA